GGGACAGCUUCUUCUCUCUGCCCCGCCUCCAUGUGGACUGCAAGUCAGGGUCCCUUGGCUGAAGUGUCCCCCAAUAUCCAUAGUCACACUCUGUAAAAGGUCUUCUCUUAUAAACAUGACUACUGCAUAUAUACUUUUCCCACCCUCAGGGAUUGGAAAGAGGAGCCAAAAGCCAAUUUUCUACUUUUAGCAAUUUUAUUUCCACUAUCAACCAAAAGAGAGAAGCAGCCGGAAGCAGCAGCUCACCUACACAACUUGUUAUACCCAACAUCAAAAAUGAUUACUACAAAUAGAAGUACUUCAGAUUGAUUUCCCAUCUUCAAAAAAGAAAUAGUUCAGUGGUAUUGAACUUUGUUUAUUAUGCCAAAGGAGAUGUAAUGAGGCACUGAUUAAGACAUCAGCAUCCAUCCAGAAAUAACUGGAAUCAAUCUUCAAAUGGCAUCAAUGGGGAGACAAAAGAUUACCAACUAGUAACUGAACCUUUGGAGAAUAUCACCUUGGAGGACCUGAUUGAACACAACACUUGGCAUUGUGAACCAUAUUUUUGCAGGGAAAAAGUUGUGAUAUGUUGUAGAAUCACACACCCAAACACUCGUUACCCUUCAAAAAUGCUAACUAGAUGUCAUCUUUGAAAAGCAUACUGAUGUAUUUUAAGUUGUUUCUCAAAGGAUACAGGACUUGCAAGACGAGUUCCAUACAUCCAGUGUACAUUCCGUAUUCAGUGACCAUUAUUGUACAUGAUGGAGAGCUGCAAUAUCACAGAAUGGAUCAUGAAAUUUAAUGAAGUUGAAUUGGUGACAAAGCCAACUUUUGGACUAGUGUAGUAAUACAUGAAGAUGCUUGAGUCUUUGCUGCUCUUUAUUCGAUCUGCUAAUUAGAAUUUGUAUCUCACACUGGAAGACCUAGCAAAAUACAUUUUUGCUUUAGAUUUAACCAACUAUUCUGGGAUGAUUAAUCUGCUACCUCGCUGAAAUAAGAGGUGUGAAAAGUCUGACCCUGACAUAUUGGAGGAAUUUCAAAAAGGAAAUUGGGUUGUUAAAAGGUCACCUGUUCCCUUCUGUUAUCUUAUUAUCAAACUAUCUUACUGGACGGUAUUAGAUUCAGUUUCCAAAGCCUCUUUCCUCGCUCUGAAGGUUCUUGGAAUGCAUGAGACAAUCACUGAUGAUGUCAUAAAUUAACUGGAGGCAUUAAUAUACCAAGUUUACCAUUUGAAGACUAACAUUACGACAUUUGCAGAACUAUGUUGAUGGAUGCUUUCUAAGAAGCAGAUAAACUGAGAAAAAUUGCCAUUGAUGUGGGUACUAUUUAUACUUUGGUGUCAUAAGGGCAAAUUAUCAAGCAAUGGAAUGGCUCUGAGAUGAUCGACCAUAUCCAAAACUACCCUCCCCUAUUGGGCAUGGUUGGGUCUUGGAGAAUGAACUGAUCAUACCGGUUAUGUGUGAAUUACUAUGUGGUUCCAGAUCAGUACUUCAGCUAAUCAAAUGCUUGUGUGCAAAGACCAGAUGCUCACCAUCCUGCAAAUGUUUGGCCAGCAGCCUGCUUUGCACAGAAAUAUGCAAGUGCAGCUCAGACAAGGAUCAGUGUGAGAAUAUGUCUAGCAAUGGUGCCCCCUAGAUGGAGAUGACACUGAUGGUGACUUUGAUAAAUAAAUGUUUUCAGUCCUACAUGUCAAUGCUAACUUCACUAGAAUUACAAAAGAUCAAUGUCUUUUUUUAUGUAAGCAAUGCAUCCCUCUGUUAAGUGAGAGAUCUACCACCAAUUUGCCUUGAUGUUAGGCAAAAGCAGCGCAUCUCUAUAGAUACACUACCACCGGAACUGAAAGCUCCAGUCCCUCCAGAAUCUUCCCUUCCCAUCCGAACCAAAACUAUGAAGGACUUCCAGGAGGAUAUGGAAAAAACUAAGUCAUCAGGAGAUUGGAAAGCUGUACAUGAUUUUUAUUUAACAACAUUUGAUUCUUUCCUGGAGUUAAAUGCUGCAUUUAAGAAAGAUAUCAGUCUCCCUUUCAGUACCAUUGAUGAUUCUGGAAUCAAUGCUAAAUUUGUGAAUGCUGUCUAUGAUGCCUUACUAAAUACUCCUCAAGAUAUUCAGAAGUCUGUCCUAAAAGGAAUAAUUAAUGGUCUGUUACAGGAGUGGAAAGGGCCACGAACAAAAGAUGAUCUUAGAGCAUACUGUAUACUUCUACAGAAUCCUCAGUUUAGUAACACAUCUACUUAUGUCAUCUAUGCUCACUUGCUAAGACAGAUAGCAACCUUGGCAGAAGCUGACCAUCAUUUCCUAGCUCACUGGUUUAAAAAGAUUUCGCAGAGGAGGUUUAAGCAGUUAGUAGACAGGUUGCUGCAAUUUAUUUCUUUACGUCUGUUCCCUGCAAAACCUGAAGAAUUCCCACCCAUGAUAAAAUGUACCUGGUGGAUUCCAUCAGCAACCAAAGUCUUGGCUUUAUUCAAUGCUGCAAAUAGCCUAGCUAAUCCUGCUAUUAUUCCAUAUAUGGAUUUUUAUAAUUCGACUUUGGAUCAUAUUGAUCUCAUGGAAGAGUAUCAUAACUGGCAGUGUUAUGGAAACUCUCACAGGUUUUCUUUCUGUCAGUAUCCAUUCAUUAUUUCUAUAGCAGCAAAAAAAGUUAUUAUUCAAAGGGACUCAGAACAACAGAUGAUAAGCAUGGCACGGCAAAGCCUGGUGGACAAAGUCUCUCGCAGGCAGAGACCUGACAUGAAUAUGUUAUUCCUAAACUUGAAAGUGAGAAGGAUGCACCUUGUUAGUGAUUCACUUGAUGAGCUGACACGGAAGAGGGCAGAUCUGAAAAAAAAGUUGAAAGUUACAUUUGUAGGGGAGGCUGGUCUUGAUAUGGGUGGCUUGACAAAAGAAUGGUUUCUUCUCCUUAUUCGCCAAAUUUUUCACCCAGACUAUGGUAUGUUUACGUAUCACAAGGAUUCACACUGUCACUGGUUUAGCAGCUAUAAAUGUGAUAACUACUCUGAAUUCCGAUUGGUUGGAGCUCUUAUGGGACUUGCCGUGUAUAACAGUAUCACCUUGGAUAUUCGCUUCCCACCUUGCUGUUACAAGAAACUUUUGAGUCCUCCCAUUGUUCCCUGUGAUCAGAACACACCUGUAGGCCUCAGUGAUGUUUCAUUAGAUGACCUGUGUCAUAUUAUACCAGAGUUGGCCCAUGGACUAAGUGAGCUUCUAUCCUAUGAAGACAAUGUUGAAGAAGACUUUUAUUCAACCUUCCAGGUUUUUCAAGAAGAAUUUGGAGUCAUAAAAUCUUAUAACCUAAAGCCUGGUGGUGAUAAAAUUCCAGUUACGGCUCAGAAUAGGAAAGAAUAUGUGCAACUUUAUGUUGACUUCAUUCUCAACAAAUCAGUCUACAAACAGUUUGCAGCUUUUUAUUAUGGAUUCCAUAGUGUCUGUGAUUCAUAUGCAUUGAUGCUACUUCGUCCAGAAGAGGUUGAAAUUCUUGUUUGUGGAAGCCCUGAACUGGAUAUGUAUGCUCUACAGAGAAACACCCAGUAUGAUGGCUACCUGAAAACUGAUCUCACUAUACGAUACUUUUGGGAGGUAGUACUUGGAUUUCCUCUUGAUCUCCAAAAGAAGCUGCUGCAUUUUACUACAGGAAGUGACAGAGUACCUGUGGGAGGGAUGGCUGAUUUGAAUUUCAAGAUUUCAAAGAGUGAAACGUCCACUAACUGGUUACCUGUGGCCCACACCUGCUUCAACCAGCUUUGCCUCCCUCCUUACAAGAGCAAAAAAGAACUGAAGCAGAAGCUGAUCAUUGGAAUUUCAAAUGCAGAAGGUUUUGGUCUAGAAUAAGAUGAAAGAUUUAAAAUACAGGAUUUUUUAUGUAGCACUCACUUUCCUCUUAUUGUGCCUUUAAGCUUUUCAUGUUUCUGUCUCUUGAUACUGUGCCAGUCUUAUCCAAUUUAAAACAUGAUUUUUUUAGUUAAAUGCAAAGUGCAUUUGUUUUUGCUGUAUGGCAAUACAUUUACUGCUUUUUUUUUCCACAAAGUAAUUUUCAUAAAAUACAGAAUGCUGCAUUACUUGACAGAAGAAAGCUGCCAGAGGUGACAAAUUCCAGGUUACAGUUUUGUGUCUGAUUAUUCUUGGAGCACUUUAUAAUUAAUCAUAAUUUAUAUCCGGAUACAUAUCCCACUGGGAAAGGAAACAUAAAAGGUUUAUUGAUUAGGUAAGUCGAGUGGCAGAGUGUCUUCAAUUAAUACACGCAGUAGCAAAGUGUAUAACUGCCAUUCAUGUGAGACACGGGGCCAUAUUUUCAUAUUGAGACAUAAAGCAAUUUUAGCCUAGAUAAAAUGUAUACAGUUUUAAUGUUUUGGCUUUCGUUAUCAAAUAAUUAAGCAGGAUAUUUAAAAAGCAUGUAAAUAACUGCCUGUGGAAAAAUAGAAUUUUGAUAGUGCCAUUAAUUGCUAAAGAUUUAUUUUUACAAAUACACAGUUUUAGACGAUAUAUAUUCAGCUUUUACAGAUCAACAGAAUUGAUUUGUAUAGGAAUGUUAAGAGUACUAUUUUCAGUAUAACUGGACUCAAGGACAGACUUUAAGUAUUAAACAACCUGCAUGUAAAUCUUAUGAAAUUGGCAGCAAACUAAUCAGUUUGGCUGUAGAUAUUGUAGUUUUGUAACCAUGGCUUACUUAAAGAAAUUGGAUAUUGACAGGUAAAUUCUAAAUCUUUGAAUUGCUUCAGAAAUAAGUGAUAUCCACAUCACAUGGAAAAAUAUUAAAAUUUUAAUUUGUGUACAAUAUUGUCAUUUGAUCAACAACUUUAUGCUAGAAAUCUUUUACUAAAAGUUUAUUAGAGUAAGCUAUGACAAAAGUGAAUACAAGAACAUAUCAAAAUGCUCUAUCUUUCAUUCACUUGAAGGUCGGUAUUUAGACAAUGUUUUGUUUUUUUCACUGCACACUAAUAAAGUAAAUGUAAAGAUAUUCUUGUCUGAAAGUUUUAGCAAAUUUGGAGCUGAGGAGGAAACUGAUUGUAAAAUGCAGGCAUAAUUACAAGUCCAUUUUUAUUCACAACCUGAGACAGUAGCAGCAUACAGUAUAGUAUAUUGUAUUUUUUUACAUCAAGUAAUACCUACUGUAUGUUCUAUAGAUUUUGCAAUGGAACUUAUUUGCAAUAACAAAAUAUAUAGUAAUUUUUCUGAUACUUUUCUUAUUCUGGCUAUUUCUUCCUUUCUAUACUACUUACACACAACCAGCAGAUUUCUACAUUGGUUAAUAAACUAAUCUGGCUACUCUGUAACCUUAAUGACAUUAAUCCUUUAGUAAAUAAUUACACAUUUAAUUCUGUUCUGAUCCUUAAAGAAGGUAGUGAUGGUUUACCAUUUUUAUUUUAUUAGGAAUAGAGAUUAGUGGUAGGAUUUUUGAAAGCAUUCAGCAUUGGCCUAACUCAGCUCCUCUUUAAGUGAGUGGUAAAACUACCAUUGACUUCAGUGGAAGCAUAUUUAGGCCAGUAAUUGUUGCUUUUAAAAAUACCGAUCUAGAAUUAUAUUUUUAAUCUGAAAAUGUAAAGUGAAUCGGUUACACAAAUCACAUUGCUUCACCACUGUACUGCCUGAACUAAAAAGACAUUUAAAAUGGGUAAAAUACUAAUAAGCACAAAAAUGUGGAUGUAUUUUAGAAGUCAGAAUAAUGUAUAUUUUUAUUAAGUAAACUGGAAGCAAAAUUUUUGUUUCUAUAGGGGUUGAUUCAUGGAAGGUUGUCUUAUGCAUUUUUGUUUUAUGAAUUAGCUAUACAGUUUUUCAUGUAAAAAUGCACAUGUCAAUAUUUUUAUGACUCAAGCCCACAUUUAAUAACUAAAGCAUUGUUUCUGCCUAUCAUUAAGAUAAAUGAUACAUUUUAAUCUUUUACAUUUUAAUCUUUUAUCACAAAUUUGCACUUUGCCUUGGUUUAGUUUUAAUUAUUAAAAGCUUUUUGGGUUUACUGUGUAAUAUUACCUCAAAAUUUUAAAAGCUAUUAUAUUUGCAUCCAUUUUUAAAUAAAUUAGAGAAUGUCAUUGAAUUACAUUUUAUAUUUCCUGACAUUAAGUUAAAUAAUUGUAAUUUUUGUAUUUGUUAAAUGAAAGCAUUGCACAGUAUUUAUGAAAUAAGCCUCUGAUCUCCUCAUUUAACAUUGUUUGCUCAACUACAUUUUGUUUUUUGUCUUGCAAUGUAAUCCAACAAAACCUUCCUCCUCCUUCUCCCCCACCCCCCUUUUUCUCUGUACAAUUGUUUUGUACAUUACCUAAGGAAAUCUGGUUUGUAUACAUUUGUUCAUUACUGGGUAUCUAUUUUUAUGUAUUGAAAUUGUGCAGUCAUUAAAUCAAACACGUUUCAAUUUCCAA